GUGCUCACUUCAGCAGCACAUAUACUAAAAUUGGAACAAUACAGUGAAGUUUAGCAUGACCCCUGCACAAGGAUGACACGCAAAAUCAUGAAGUGUUCAAAAAAUGU
ensembl:snRNA U6 U6 spliceosomal RNA